UCUCACUUGUCUCACUUCGAGUUCUGCUUCGAGCCGCCGCAGUUGAUUUUAAGAAGCCAGCGCACACACGUGUGCGGAGGCCGUACGUAAACUUGUGUUCUUCGACUCACAGCAUCGCAAGUCGCGGGUUUUCCAAGCUGUAGGAUGUGGUAACUGGUAUACCUCUACUCGCAGAUUGCAGUACUCGGGAGAAACUGCAUAGCAGGGAGAAUUUUGCGACCCUCGGAAUACUUAUUAAGUUGACCCCUACCAACUCACUAAUCAGCAUCAAUAUAUCCAAAAUUGUUUCGGUUGCCAAUAGAGCAUACUGUUAGGGAGAGUCGAUGAAGGACUGAAGAAUUCCAAGAAAUAGGCCUUUGUUUGGCAGCCUUUUUUAAGUUUUUUUAUUUAUGUAUAAUGUAAUCUUUAUUUUGUAGGGCUUACCUAAUCGCCCAAAACAAAUUCAUUGUUUACUAUAAAAAAUGUCACUUAACUAUGUUUUAUUUGUUAGAUAACUAUCAAAAUAGCUAUUUAACCACAAUCCAUGGGUUGGGUUCAAUCUACCCACUUUUAUAGUAUUACGUAAGAGUAACUAUUUGAUGGGUAAAAUAAACAAUUCGAUGGUUGGUAACCGCUAUACUAUUAAUUUUACCAAAUGGUUUUUGGAGUGUAGGAAUCCAAAAGCUUACAGUUCCAAUUUCCGAAAAAUUUGGCUUUACUUUGAUUUUCCGCCAAUUUUGGGAGUGGUAGUAAAUCUCGAGCAGUUUAAUACAAUAAUCCAGUGUCCAGGACCCUAUAAGCUAAUUUCUAUGGCAAAAAGGUGCUUUGUAUCAAAAGUUAUAAAGUUUCGAACUUGAAAAGAAAUUAAACGAGCUGUUUUAAAAAAAUAUCCAUAAAGUGGCAAGAAAAACUUGUAACUAUAAUGUACACUUAGCACGUAUCUGUAGCAUCAGUCGUUUAGAAACUUUAAAAUUUCCCGCCAAACUAGGGGGUUUUUCAAAAAUGCAAUAAUCUGGAAAUCGCGACCCCAAACUAUAACGGGAUGCACCCCUGUCACAAACAAAGGGACAAUCAUUUUAAUUUUCAAAAGAGCAUUUUAUUUUAGGAAUAACUUUUAAACGGAUUUUUACAAAAGUUCGAAUUACACUCGAAGCGUACUUUCAGUCAAAUUGCAACGAGGCUUGAUCCUGGGGGAUCUUUACAGGGAUCCACAGUGUAAGGUAUAAUUCUUUAGCUUUUUGUAGCGUUUAGACUUUGCUGACCUGUGUAAUUGGACACCUUCAGUAUAUGUUAUGGCUCUAGGGCAAAACGUGAUUACAACUAGUAGCAUAUCUAUAAGCUUGGACUCCAAAUAAGUGUUAUGUUUAAAAAAUUAAAACGCAAAACAGCGUCCAACAAAAAAUUCAAAAAAUUACAUUGAAUUAUUUUUAUUUUUGCUUAUGGCAAAACGUGAUAAAUUAAACACAUUUAUGAUCUACGAGUCAAUACCAAUGACGGCGAAUGGACCGCGUUGGACCGUUAGCUAAAUUUGGUUUUAUGUUAAUCGAAAGCACGAAUUCUUAAGAGCAAGAUGAAUUAUCGGCACUCAAUUUUUAUUUACAAAUUUGGAAAUGAAUAGUGGAGAAUAAGACUAAUUUUCAGUUUGUAUAAAAAAAAGCACAUAAUAUUAUAAUAAAAAUUGCAGAAAAGACUUAUUUUCAAGGUUUUCGGGUUGAAACUUUAAUUUUUCAGAGCUUUUUGUUGUUCUUUUAUUUUGGUUUAUUAAGAAUAAUUACCUUUAAAAGGUUCGCUAUGAAAUGAACCCUAUAAAUGCUAAAAAACAUUGUUUUUAAUGCAAAUUUAAAGAAUACAAAUUGGCCCAUGAGCUUUUUUGGAAGAGUCACACAACAAUUUCCCCAAGAAAAGGGUUUUGAGACUAGUGAUUUCAAGGCCGGCGGUUGUUGCUGCAGCCUAAGCUUUAGAAAAUCAUUUUUUCACCUUGAGAUAUACAAAAUGACAUAUUUUAACCAAAAAAGUUUUAAUAUCGAAUUUUAAGGUCUUUUAAACCCUUUCUAUAAACAGUGUUUUUUUGCUAAUUUUUUAGAGAUGUAAAAACCGUCCGCAUUGUGGGCGUAUCCAAUAUUACUAAAUCCAAUAUUACUAAAAAUGUAACCUUUAAAAAACAGAAAAAAGGUAUUGUGCUGUAGCACAAAGAAGAAUUGGUGCUUUUUUUGUGGCAGCUGUAUGUACGUUUUUUGCUGCAAUACAUUUUUCAGGUAGUCAUUAAAAAACAAGUCUCUUACGUGCUAUAUUAUGAUUUUAUACAAAUUAUUAACAAAAAUCCCCCCGUUCUCAUAACCCACUGUUGGGUUAUCCUCACCACCACAUAAACAAUACACGAUUUUAAGAUAGGCCUUGCCAAGUGCCUCUUCCCCAAAAUGAAUGUAUUUAUUUUUUUCUCUACACCAUUUUGUUUGGUCCGCAGAAAUAGGAGUGUCCCAUUUGCUGAUUUUCUUCUUUUCAUUAUUUUUGUUUUUGUAAUUCCAAAACUUCCGCAAAAUGAGGGUGGAUUUGUAUUGUGGAUGGCUCGGACGAAUGCUCGGCCAACCAUUUUGUUUUCGCUCACUUCCAGAGUACUCACCCCCAUCAGCACCAACAUAAUCAGAUGCGGCAUCUUAAAAACGCAGCAAUCGUUAUUUUUCUGUACGAACUUUACGAUUAUGUAACUCAUAUAUUUUGAACAAAACUAUCUUAGUUGCCUUUAAACAAAAUAAUUUCUUCUCUACAUGUGUGUGAGCUUAUACGACAAUCAUAGUUUAAAACAAGAAGUGCCUCGACUAUCGAAUACCCCGUACUCAGCUGAAGGGAGCGCAAGGCAUAUACAUUUAAGCAAUCGGCAAAGCAACUUUGUUCGGAAUUGCAGAACGCCACAUAGCGGCGAUUACAUUGUUUGGUCUAAAUGGACGGUCCGAUAUAAAUAGUUUGUAGGUAGAUAAAUUGACAUCCAAAACAAAUCCUAUUUACCAAAUUUACCUUUGAUCUGCGCAUGCUAUCUUCACUUUCAAAAGACCUUUAAAUCUAACAAACUUGCCCUGAAUCAUUUACUAAGGAUUCAAAGUAGGAGUCGCAACCCUCUAGGUCUUAUAGUUUCAGAGAUCACAUCGACUCGGCUAGUGAUUCUCGACCAGGAGAAUAUAAAUACUACCAUUUUACUCUACUCUAGGUCCAGUAAAAUAGAUUGGCUCAAGUAUAAGAUACCCCUUAUUUAACUAAAAGAAGCCCAAAGGAGAUGCAGAUAUGCAUGCAAGCAGCAAAGCCACUGAUUCCGAUAUUGCACACUCGACUCGCUCCACCUAUCAGGGCGCCAUACAGAAUUUAUAUAUAAGAAAUGUUCUUUUACGAUUUCCAUUGUGACUAAAGCAAACAAAUAAAUGAAAAAAGGGUUACUG